rnacentral:lncRNA from 1 species
UUAAUAUCCUUCUUGUCUUAGAAACAGCAAGCUCUUGUCUAAAGUGAUGAGCAUACACAAGAACUCUGAGAACAUGAAUGACCCUUUUAAUUUGUCUGCUGUGCUGAAUAUGUAUUAAAUGCUCAGGCUACAGGAAUGGAAAAAAUUCAGGAGAGUCUCCUCUUUGACAUAUAAAUCUGGCAGCAAAAUAAUUAAGGUCAUAUUCAAAUCCCAGUCCCAUAUCUCACCUGUGCUAAGCACAAGUGGGAAAACAUAUUCCAGUUUCCUGAUGGUUAACACUUUAAGUAAUAGAUGGGAGACUUCAUUCUGAUGUCUGACUCACUGCUUUAAUGCUGGGGGGAUCUGAAGGAAAAUAUCAAAAUUGUACACCUUAAAGGACAAGACUGAGAUGAGAAGCUGUUUGAUGCCUGUGAGAAAGAUAUGCAGCAGAGAACAACUGAAAUAUUUGGAGUUCUUGAAAUUCCAUAUUCAAAUGACGCUAUGACCAACAGCAAACAGGAGGUGAUGCAAGAGAUAAGGAAUCUCCUCAGAUAUUCCUAUAACCAAAACAACUCAAAGAUUUACCACAACGUUAUCUCUGUAAGUAAAGAUACAGCCCAGGCACAGGGGUGGUGGUUCAGUUUUCUGGCGUGUCUAUGCAGCUUGGUAUUUAAAAAAAUGAGAGGUCUCCCUUCUGCUUGGGGUUAUUUUUCCCCUGUGGUGAGGGUCUUGCAGCCCAUAUACUCCCAAAAUAUUCUCACAGGCAUGCACAGAAGUACAUGUAACCUUCCAAGGGAGAUACAAAGCUGCACCGGGAACAGUGGGGAACCGCAGGACAGGCAGGGCAGUGCCUGUACCAGAAGGGUACAGUCCUACUGGACCCAAGCAAGGUGCAAAAAGCAGGGCCAGUGGUGG